rnacentral:rRNA from 1 species
GAUGAACGCUGGCGGCGUGCCUAAUACAUGCAAGUCGAGCGAACAGACGAUGAGCUUUCGCCUCUGACGUUAGCGGCUGACGGGUGAGUAACACGUGGAUCACCUACCUAUAUUACUGGGAUAACUUCGGGAGACCGGAUCUAAUACCAGAUCAUAUAUUGAACCGCAUGGUUCAAUAGUGAAAGACGGUUUUGCUGUCUCUUAUAGAUGGAUCCGCGCCGCAUUAGCUAGUUGGUAAGGUAACGGCUUACCAAGGCGACGAUGCGUAGCCGACCUGAGAGGGUGAUCGGCCACACUGGAACUGAGACACGGUCCAGACUCCUACGGGAGGCAGCAGUAGGGAAUCUUCGGCAAUGGGCGCAAGCCUGACGGAGCAACGCCGCGUGAGUGAUGAAGGUCUUCGGAUCGUAAAACCCUGUUAUUAGGGAAGAACAGAUGUGUAAGUAACUAUGGCCGUCUUGACGGUACCUAAUCAGAAAGCCCCGGCUAACUACGUG